rnacentral:rRNA from 1 species
UCAACCGCAGACUCGGUGAAAUUGAAGUGGCGGUGGAGAUACCGUCUACGCGCAGCAAGACGGAAAGACCCCAUGCACCUUUACUAUAACCUGGUACUGAUGCCGGUUGUGGACUGCGUAGAAUAGGUGGGACGCGUUGAUCCCCGGGUUCCGGCUCGGGGUUAGCGGAAAUGUGAAAUACCACCCUGUUUGCAUUCGUCAUCUCACCCUGUCCCAUGAAUCUGGGCAGGGAACAGUGCUAGGCGGUUAGUUUGACUGGGGCGGUCUCCUCCAAAAGAGUAACGGAGGAGUGCAAAGGCAGGCUCAGGGCGGUUGGCAAUCGCCCGUCGAGUGCGGUCGGGUAAGUUUGAUGUGAAAUCUCUGGGCUUAACCCAGAAAUGGCAUUGAAUACUAUUCGGCUAGAGAAUCGGAGGGGGGACUGGAAUACUUGGUGUAGCAGUGAAAUGCGUAGAUAUCAAGUGGAACACCAGUGGCGAAGGCGAGUCCCUGGACGAUUUCUGACGCUGAGGCACGAAAGCUAGGGGAGCAAACAGGAUUAGAUACCCUGGUAGUCCUAGCUGUAAACGGUGCACGUUUGCUGUAAAAGGAAUCGACCCCUUUUGUGGCGAAGCUAACGCGUUAAACGUGCCGCCUGGGAAGUACGGUCGCAAGAUUAAAACUCAAAGAAAUUGACGGGGGCCUGCACAAGCGGUGGAGUAUGUGGCUUAAUUCGAAGCAACGCGAAGAACCUUACCUGGCCUUGACAUGCAAGUGGUAGAACCUUGAAAGAGGGACGAACCCGCAAGGGUAGCUUGCACAGGUGCUGCAUGGCUGUCGUCAGCUCGUGUCGUGAGAUGUUGGGUUAAGUCCCGCAACGAGCGCAACCCCUGUGUCCUGUUGCCACCCGGCCGAGAGGCUGGAGCACUCUGGACAGACUGCCUCGCUUAAACGAGGAGGAAGGUGGGGAUGACGUCAAGUCAGUAUGGCCCUUACGGCCAGGGCUGCACACGUACUACAAUGCCCGGUACAAAGGGAAGCAAGACCGCGAGGUGGAGCAAAUCCCCUAAAACCGGGCUCAGUUCAGAUUGUAGUCUGCAACUCGACUACAUGAAGCUGGAAUCGCUAGUAAUGGCGCAUCAGCUACGGCGCCGUGAAUACGUUCCCAGGCCUUGUACACACCGCCCGUCACAUCAUGAAAGCCGUUUGUACCCGAAGUCGUCGUGCUAACCGCAAGGAGGCAGAUGCCGUAGGUAUGGAUGGUGAUUGGGAUGAAGUCGGAACAAGGUA